GACGAACGCUGGCGGCGUGCUUAACACAUGCAAGUCGAACGAGAAUCUGUGGAUCGAGGAUUCGUCCAAGUGAAGCAGAGGACAGUGGCGGACGGGUGAGUAACGCGUGAGGAACCUGCCUUUCAGAGGGGGACAACAGUUGGAAACGACUGCUAAUACCGCAUGAUACGUUUUAGGGGCAUCCCUGAGACGUCAAAGAUUUAUCGCUGAAAGAUGGCCUCGCGUCUGAUUAGCUAGUUGGUGAGGUAACGGCCCACCAAGGCGACGAUCAGUAGCCGGACUGAGAGGUUGACCGGCCACAUUGGGACUGAGACACGGCCCAGACUCCUACGGGAGGCAGCAGUGGGGAAUAUUGCACAAUGGAGGAAACUCUGAUGCAGCGACGCCGCGUGAGUGAAGAAGUAGUUCGCUAUGUAAAGCUCUAUCAGCAGGGAAGAUAGUGACGGUACCUGACUAAGAAGCUCCGGCU
rnacentral:rRNA from 1 species